GUAGCGAACAGGAUUAGAUACCCUGGUAGUCCACGCCGUAAACGAUGAUUACUAAGUGUUGGAGGGUUUCCGCCCUUCAGUGCUGCAGCUAACGCAUUAAGCAAUCCGCCUGGGGAGUACGACCGCAAGGUUGAAACUCAAAAGAAUUGACGGGGGCCCGCACAAGCGGUGGAGCAUGUGGUUUAAUUCGAAGCUACGCGAAGAACCUUACCAGGUCUUGACAUCUUUUGACCGUUUAAGAGAUAGGGGUUUCCCUUCGGGGGCAAAAUGACAGGUGGUGCAUGGUUGUCGUCAGCUCGUGUCGUGAGAUGUUGGGUUAAGUCCCGCAACGAGCGCAACCCUUAUUAUUAGUUGCCAUCAUUAAGUUGGGCACUCUAGCGAGACUGCCGGUGACAAACCGGAGGAAGGUGGGGAUGACGUCAAAUCAUCAUGCCCCUUAUGAC
rnacentral:rRNA from 1 species